rnacentral:rRNA from 1 species
UGGGGAAUAUUGCACAAUGGGCGAAAGCCUGAUGCAGCAACGCCGCGUGAGGGACGACGGCCUUCGGGUUGUAAACCUCUUUUAGCAAGGAAGAAGCGAAAGUGACGGUACUUGCAGAAAAAGCGCCGGCUAACUACGUGCCAGCAGCCGCGGUAAUACGUAGGGCGCAAGCGUUAUCCGGAAUUAUUGGGCGUAAAGAGCUCGUAGGCGGUUUGUCGCGUCUGCUGUGAAAACCCGAGGCUCAACCUCGGGCCUGCAGUGGGUACGGGCAGACUAGAGUGCGGUAGGGGAGAUUGGAACUCCUGGUGUAGCGGUGGAAUGCGCAGAUAUCAGGAAGAACACCGAUGGCGAAGGCAGAUCUCUGGGCCGUAACUGACGCUGAGGAGCGAAAGGGUGGGGAGCAAACAGGCUUAGAUACCCUGGUAGUCCACCCCGUAAACGUUGGGAACUAGUCGUGGGGUCCAUUCCACGGAUUCCGUGACGCAGCUAACGCAUUAAGUUCCCCGCCUGGGGAGUACGGCCGCAAGGCUAAACUCAAAUGAAUUGACGGGGUCAUAGCUGUUUCCU